UGGGGUAACGGCCCACCAAGGCGACGAUCAGUAGCCGGACUGAGAGGUUGACCGGCCACAUUGGGACUGAGAUACGGCCCAGACUCCUACGGGAGGCAGCAGUGGGGAAUAUUGGGCAAUGGGCGCAAGCCUGACCCAGCAACGCCGCGUGAAGGAAGAAGGCUUUCGGGUUGUAAACUUCUUUUGUCGGGGACGAAACAAAUGACGGUACCCGACGAAUAAGCCACGGCUAACUAC
rnacentral:rRNA from 1 species